UAAUAAAUGCACAGUUGUUGAUUGAAAAUA
rnacentral:piRNA from 1 species